rnacentral:rRNA from 1 species
UAACUACGUGCCAGCAGCCGCGGUAAUACGUAGGUGGCGAGCGUUAUCCGGAAUGAUUGGGCGUAAAGGGUGCGUAGGUGGCAGAUCAAGUCUGGAGUAAAAGGUAUGGGCUCAACCCGUACUGGCUCUGGAAACUGAUCAGCUAGAGAACAGAAGAGGACGGCGGAACUCCAUGUGUAGCGGUAAAAUGCGUAGAUAUAUGGAAGAACACCGGUGGCGAAGGCGGCCGUCUGGUCUGGAUUCUGACACUGAAGCACGAAAGCGUGGGGAGCAAAUAGGAUUAGAUACCCUAGUAGUCCACGCCGUAAACGAUGAGAACUAGGUGUUGGGGGAAUAACUCAGUGCCGCAGUUAACGCAGUAAGUUCUCCGCCUGGGGAGUAUGCACGCAAGUGUGAAACUCAAAGGAAUUGACGGGGGCCCGCACAAGCGGUGGAGUAUGUGGUUUAAUUCGAAGCAACGCGAAGAACCUUACCAGGCCUUGACAUCCCUUGCAGAGGUAUAGAGAUAUAUCCGAGGUUAUCAAGGAGACAGGUGGUGCAUGGUUGUCGUCAGCUCGUGUCGUGAGAUGUUGGGUUAAGUCCCGCAACGAGCGCAACCCUUGUGAUAUGUUACUAACAUUGAGUUGAGGACUCAUAUCAGACUGCCGGUGACAAACCGGAGGAAGGUGGGGAUGACGUCAAAUCAUCAUGCCCCUUAUGGCCUGGGCUACACACGUACUACAAUGGCGUCUACAAAGAGCGGCAAACCUGUGAAGGCAAGCGAAUCUCAUAAAGGGCGUCUCAGUUCGGAUUGAAGUCUGCAACCCGACUUCAUGAAGCUGGAAUCGCUAGUAAUCGCGAAUCAGCAUGUCGCGGUGAAUACGUUCUCGGGCCUUGUACACACCGCCCGUCAAACCAUGGGAGUUGGUAAUGCCCGAAGCCGGUGGCAUAACCCUUCGGGGAGUGAGCCGUCGAAGGCAGGACCGAUGACUGGGGUUAAGUCGUAACAAGGUAUCCCUACGGGAACGUGGGGAUG